CCUGAUUCGUCAGCAGGAGCAGAGAGACAGCAGUGCCCGGUGCUCAUUCACUCAUCUUCAACACAGAGCUUCCACAUUCCAAGCAAGUCAAGCUUGCCCUUCCUUCCUCCCUCAUCUUUCUAGAGGCAGUGGCCUAGCUGCACAUUCUCAUAAAGCAGCUCAGCGUGGGCUGCCAGCAAUCUAACAUCAGGAUGGAAGAAAACAGAGGCCUCAGAGGUUCGGCAUUUUCUGGAAUCUAAUGAUUCUGCUGAUUCUCCUGCGUUUAGCAAUAGCCGUUUCAAUUUCAGGAUGCUUAGAUCACUUCUUUGUUCUUUCUGCUGUGUAGCUACGGCAUUACCGUGAGUCUGGGGGAAUUCCUGUUUGGGGGUAGGCCCCUUGUUCUGAAUAAGUCAGGUCCAUGUACUUGGUAGAAGGUCAAGUUUGUUUGGGAUCUUCUCCUGCAGUGUGUCUACAGCUGACCUCUACUUCAAAUGGUGCCUCUCUGUCCCUAGGCUCUGACAUAACUCCCUCCUCUUACUUCAGGGUUUUGGAUUCUGCUGCUUCCGCGGGGAAUUACAGAGGUGAAAUGGAAGGGCUUGGGAGUGGGGUCCCUGCCGGGCUCUGUCUCCUGACCAUGAGCAUUCUAGGCCAGGGAUCAGGUUCACAGGCAGCCUAUUUUCCACACCUCAUAAGAAAUGUGUUUCAUAAAUAAG
rnacentral:lncRNA from 1 species